GCCUCGGUGGCUCAGCUGGUAGAGCGGCAGCCUCGUAUAUACCGAGAGAAAGCUGCAAGUCGCGGGUUCAAAUCCCGUCCGAGGCU
rnacentral:tRNA from 1 species